rnacentral:ncRNA from 1 species
AACUGAAAAAGGCAAACUUACUGAAAGGUAAGGACGCAAAGCCACGAGUCUAAGGUAUAGUGUGAAAAAUAAAAAGCAUUUUUUACUUUCUAUUUGGGCAGUAUCG